UACGGAGGAUGCGAGCGUUAUCCGGAUUUAUUGGGUUUAAAGGGUGCGUAGGCGGGCUGUUAAGUCAGCGGUCAAAUGUCGGGGCUCAACCCCGGCCUGCCGUUGAAACUGGCGGCCUCGAGUGGGCGAGAAGUAUGCGGAAUGCGUGGUGUAGCGGUGAAAUGCAUAGAUAUCACGCAGAACUCCGAUUGCGAAGGCAGCAUACCGGCGCCCGACUGACGCUGAGGCACGAAAGCGUGG
rnacentral:rRNA from 1 species